rnacentral:misc_RNA from 1 species
UUGACCAAAAGUUCAGCCUCCUGUAACAAUCGAAUUGAAAGGCAUCAAUAUCCUUCCAUUCAGUUAAAAAGACAUACAAAGGAAAUGAAGUUGCAGUAUGGUUACUGCAUUCUUAUGUUAAAGAAUCCAUGAAUCAACUGAGAACAAGGAAACUAGACAACAUCACGUCAGAUUAUAUCAAAAUAUCAUUUUAAAACUCAAGUGAGACUUUAGUGCAAGCUCGUUUUGAUUUUUCAUGAGAUGACAGGCGAUUAGCCAAACAUAUAAAAAAAAGAGAAACAAAAGUGAACAAAAUACUCUGCACAAUAAAUAAAUCCUAGGUUAAGAGUAAAAGAAGAUUGUGAUUACCAAACUGUAAAGCAACGCUCAUCAUGAGCUCCCAAAAUAUUUCCUACACAAACUCUCCCCACAAAAGGAAGCAUGAAACAGGCAAUGGGCUAGAAGCCAACAAAUGCCUAUAAUACAAUCAUAUUAAGAAAGAAAGGUCAAAUUAAUUUUAUGUCCCUAGGUGAUGUCAAAAUUAACACAUCUGUCCCUGGUUUUCAAAAAUCAACAUUUUAGUUUCUAUAUUUUGACUCUGUCAAAAAUUAAGGUCCUUCCAUCCAUUAUAAAAUGAAGAUUAUGUAAGGUUAAAAUUAGUCAAACACGGUAAAAGGAGAAAGAAGAUUAAAUCCCUAACAUACCCUUAGUUAUGAAGACAUAAAUCCCUAGUGUAUCAUUUUUUUCCCUUUCCCACCUCUUCUAUCUCCCUUUCCAAAACACUCCUUUUAUCUUUUGUACUUUCUUUCUGUCUUUCUUUUUUUUUUUUUUUUUUGAGAUUCACCUAAUUAUACUCAUAAACAUGACAAUAAUCUAUCUCACAAAGUGUAUCAAAUCCAGUUAUAUGCACUUUUUAAUUACUAUUAUUUAAUGUUAUUCAUGAAGCUGAGCAAUAACAAGCUCAUUCUUGUUAAGA